rnacentral:rRNA from 1 species
GACCUAUCAGCUUUCGACGGUAGUGUAUUGGACUACCGUGGCAGUGACGGGUAACGGGGAAUUAGGGUUCGAUUCCGGAGAGGGAGCCUGAGAAACGGCUACCACAUCUAAGGAAGGCAGCAGGCGCGCAAAUUACCCAAUCCUGACUCAGGGAGGUAGUGACAAGAAAUAACAACACUGGAAAUUUUAUUUCUAGUGAUUGGAAUGAUGGGAAUUUAAACCCCUUUCAGAGUAACAAUUGGAGGGCAAGUCUGGUGCCAGCAGCCGCGGUAAUUCCAGCUCCAAUAGCGUAUAUUAAAGUUGUUGCAGUUAAAAAGCUCGUAGUUGGAUAUCUGCUGGAAGCAAUCAGUCCGCCCUAUUUGUAGGGUGUGCACUUGAUGAAUUCUGGCAUCUAUGUCCCGAUAAUAUAACGUGGAGGUCGUCCUCCCGUUUAUUGGGAACAUACUGUUACUUUGAGAAAAUUAGAGUGUUUGAAGCAGGCUAAUUGCCUUGAAUACUGCAGC